GUAACAAAUUGCCAACUCCACUGAUUCUAUUCAAAGAAUUGAGAGAUACAUCCUCAAACAAGCUUUGGUGGUCCAUCAUGCACCAAACAACGAUUGGGGGUUCAAAAGCAGGGAUGGAUCUUUUCGAUAUUAUUCUCACUAAGGUUGUACAUUUAGGUGAUUGUGCUGAGGUGCUAAAAUCCCCAUAUUGAAGUUGAUGAGAACAUAGAUAUAAAUGUGUAA